AUCACCUAUGGAUCUUGUUAAAAUGCAGAUUCUGAUUAAGUAGGUCUGUGGUGGGACCCACGAAUCUGCAUUUCUGAUAAGUUCCCAGGUGAUGUUGA
rnacentral:pre_miRNA from 1 species